rnacentral:rRNA from 1 species
AUUCUGGCUCAGGAUGAACGCUGGCGGCGUGCUUAACACAUGCAAGUCGAACGGGAUCCAUCAGGCUUUGCUUGGUGGUGAGAGUGGCGAACGGGUGAGUAAUGCGUGACCGACCUGCCCCAUACACCGGAAUAGCUCCUGGAAACGGGUGGUAAUGCCGGAUGCUCCAGUUGAUCGCAUGGUCUUCUGGGAAAGCUUUCGCGGUAUGGGAUGGGGUCGCGUCCUAUCAGCUUGACGGCGGGGUAACGGCCCACCGUGGCUUCGACGGGUAGCCGGCCUGAGAGGGCGACCGGCCACAUUGGGACUGAGAUACGGCCCAGACUCCUACGGGAGGCAGCAGUGGGGAAUAUUGCACAAUGGGCGCAAGCCUGAUGCAGCGACGCCGCGUGCGGGAUGACGGCCUUCGGGUUGUAAACCGCUUUUGACUGGGAGCAAGCCCUUCGGGGUGAGUGUACCUUUCGAAUAAGCACCGGCUAACUACGUGCCAGCAGCCGCGGUAAUACGUAGGGUGCAAGCGUUAUCCGGAAUUAUUGGGCGUAAAGGGCUCGUAGGCGGUUCGUCGCGUCCGGUGUGAAAGUCCAUCGCUUAACGGUGGAUCCGCGCCGGGUACGGGCGGGCUUGAGUGCGGUAGGGGAGACUGGAAUUCCCGGUGUAACGGUGGAAUGUGUAGAUAUCGGGAAGAACACCAAUGGCGAAGGCAGGUCUCUGGGCCGUUACUGACGCUGAGGAGCGAAAGCGUGGGGAGCGAACAGGAUUAGAUACCCUGGUAGUCCACGCCGUAAACGGUGGAUGCUGGAUGUGGGGCCCGUUCCACGGGUUCCGUGUCGGAGCUAACGCGUUAAGCAUCCCGCCUGGGGAGUACGGCCGCAAGGCUAAAACUCAAAGAAAUUGACGGGGGCCCGCACAAGCGGCGGAGCAUGCGGAUUAAUUCGAUGCAACGCGAAGAACCUUACCUGGGCUUGACAUGUUCCCGACCGCGGCAGAGAUGUCGUUUCCCUUCGGGGCGGGUUCACAGGUGGUGCAUGGUCGUCGUCAGCUCGUGUCGUGAGAUGUUGGGUUAAGUCCCGCAACGAGCGCAACCCUCGCCCUGUGUUGCCAGCACGUCAUGGUGGGAACUCACGGGGGACCGCCGGGGUCAACUCGGAGGAAGGUGGGGAUGACGUCAGAUCAUCAUGCCCCUUACGUCCAGGGCUUCACGCAUGCUACAAUGGCCGGUACAACGGGAUGCGAC